UACGGAGGGUGCAAGCGUUAUCCGGAAUCAUUGGGUUUAAAGGGUCCGCAGGCGGAUUUAUAAGUCAGUGGUGAAAGCCUACAGCUCAACUGUAGAACUGCCAUUGAUACUGUAAGUCUUGAAUUCGGUCGAAGUGGGCGGAAUGUGACAUGUAGCGGUGAAAUGCUUAGAUAUGUCCCAGAACACCGAUAGCGAAGGCAGCUCACUAGGCCUGGAUUGACGCUCAGGGACGAAAGCGUGGGGAGCAAACAGG
rnacentral:rRNA from 1 species